rnacentral:tRNA from 1 species
GGCGUGGCGAAAUGGUAACGCACGGGACUUUGACUCCUGGAUGUGUAGGUUCAAUUCCUACCGCC